rnacentral:rRNA from 1 species
UCCAGACUCCUACGGGAGGCAGCAGUGGGGAAUAUUGCACAAUGGGCGAAAGCCUGAUGCAGCAACGCCGCGUGAAGGAAGAAGGCCUUCGGGUCGUAAACUUCUGUCCUUGGGGAAGAAGAACUGACGGUACCCAAGGAGGAAGCCCCGGCUAACUACGUGCCAGCAGCCGCGGUAAUACGUAGGGGGCAAGCGUUAUCCGGAUUUACUGGGUGUAAAGGGAGCGUAGACGGCUUGGCAAGCCAGAUGUGAAAGGCUGGGGCUCAACCCCAGGACUGCAUUUGGAACUGUCAUGCUAGAGUGUCGGAGAGGCAGGCGGAAUUCCUAGUGUAGCGGUGAAAUGCGUAGAUAUUAGGAGGAACACCAGUGGCGAAGGCGGCCUGCUGGACGAUGACUGACGUUGAGGCUCGAAAGCGUGGGGAGCAAACAGGAUUAGAUACCCCGGUAUG